rnacentral:misc_RNA from 1 species
GAUGAAGAACGUAGCAAAAUGCGAUAAGUAAUGUGAAUUGCAGAAUUCAGUGAAUCAUCGAAUCUUUGAACGCACAUUGCGCCCGCCAGUAUUCUGGCGGGCAUGCCUGUUCGAGCGUCAUUUCAACCCACAAGCACAGCUUGGUGUUGGGACUCGCGUUAAUUCGCGUUCCCCAAAUUGAUUGGCGGUCACGUCGAGCUUCCAUAGCGUAGUAGUAAAACCCUCGUUACUGGUAAUCGUCGCGGCCACGCCGUUAAACCCCAACUUCUGAAUGUUGACCUCGGAUCAGGUAGGAAUACCCGCUGAACUUAAGCAUAUCAUAAGCGGAGGA